GAAAAUGAAGAAGAGUUUUGGAAAAACUCACUCAGUUGUCCAGCUUCUCCUUAUUCUUUGGAUGACAUCCCUCAUCCACAUUGCAGUUGGGGAUUAUUCAGCAACUUAUCUUCCGGAAGGCGAAUCACAUUUCAUUUCCUUUCCAGACACCUCUGAAAUACGGUUGCUACAAACAAACGCCACGAAUGGAUUUCAAGUUGUGUUUGUGUUUCAAUAUUUGCGACUCAUUUAUGAUGAUGAUAGUAUAGUCCAAAUAGGAACAGGUAACGACCCAUCUGAUAUACAGUCUGUUAUCACAACUAUCCGUGGAUAUACACACUACGCUGAUCAUGUUUAUGUAGAUAACAAUGAGAUGUGGUUUGCCGCCAUAGGACCAGGGCAAUACCAGGGUGUUAGUAUUACUGCCAUUGAUUUGCUGAAUUUCUUUCCUUGUUUGGGAUCGAUCAUGAACGUGUCAGUAACGUUAGUUUGCGAUGGAUAUUACGACUGUGACAGUUAUGAGGAUGAAUCAUCAUGUAAUUUCUUUCCUUGUUUGGGAUCGAUCAUGAACGUGUCAGUAACGUUAGUUUGCGAUGGAUAUUACGACUGUGACAAUUAUGAGGAUGAAUCAUCAUGUAAUUAUUCAGCAACUUAUCUUCCGGAAGGCGAAUCACAUUUCAUCUCCAUUCCAGACACCUCUGAAAUACGGUUGUAUGAAGCAACCUUGCUACAAACAAACGCCACGAAUGGAUUUCAUGUUGUGUUUCAAAAUUUUCGACUCUAUUAUGAUGAUGAUGAUAGUAAAGUCCAAAUAGGAACUGGUAACGACCCAUCUGAUAUACAGUCUGUUAUCACAACUAUCCACGGAUAUACACACGACGCUUCUGAUCAUGUUUAUGUAGAUAACAAUAAGAUGUGGUUUGCCGCCAUAGGACGAGGGCAAGACAGUCGUUUCCGAAUGGGUGUUGGUAUUACCGCCAUUGAUUUGCUGAAUUUCUUUCCUUGUUUGGGAUCGAUCAUGAACGUGUCAGUAACGUUAGUUUGCGAUGGAUAUUACGACUGUGACAAUUAUGAGGAUGAAUCAUCAUGUAAUUAUUCAGCAACUUAUCUUCAGAAGGGCGGUUCACAUUUCAUCUCCUUACCAACCACCACUACAACACGAUUGUAUAACGCAACCUUACUACAAACAAACGCUACAAAUAGAUUUCGAGUUGUGUUUCAAGAUUUGUAUCUCCAUAAUGAUGAUGAUAUAGUCCAAAUAGGAACAGGUAACGACCCAUCUGAUAUACAGUCUGUUAUCACAACUGUCCAUGGAUAUGCACACUACGCUCCUGACGAUGUAUAUGUAUAUAACAAUGAGAUGUGGAUUGCUGCCAUAGGAGCAAAGAGUGACUCCGAGCUUGGAAUGGACGUUGAGAUCAUUUCCAUUGACCUAUCAAAUUAUUCAGCAACUUAUCUUCCGGAAGGCGAAUCACAUUUCAUCUCCUUUCCAGAAACCUCUGAAAUACAGUUGUAUAAAACAACCUUGCUACAAACGAACGCCACGAAUGGAUUUCAAGUUGUGUUUCAAAAUUUUCGACUCUCUGAUGAUGAUAGUAUAGUCCAAUUAGGAACAGGUAACGACCCAUCUGAUAUACAGUCUGUUAUCACAACUAUCCAUGGAUAUGCACACUACGCUCCUGAUCAUGUUUAUGUAGAUAACAAUGAGAUGUGGUUUGCCGCCAUAGGACCAGGGCAAUACAGUCAUUCCCGAAUGGGUGUUGGUAUUACUGCCAUUGAUUUGCUGAAUUUCUUUCCUUGUUUGGGAUCGAUCAUGAACGUGUCAGUAACGUUAGUUUGCGAUGGAUAUUACGACUGUGACAAUUAUGAGGAUGAAUCAUCAUGUAAUUAUUCAGCAACUUAUCUUCAGAAGGGCGGUUCACAUUUCAUCUCCUUACCACCCACCACUACAACACGAUUGUAUAUCGCAACCUUACUACAAACAAACGCUACAAAUGGAUUUCGAGUUGUGUUUCAAGACGUCCCGUAUCUCCAAAAUGAUGAUAAUAUAGUCCAAAUAGGGAUAGGUAACGAUCCGUCUGACAUACAGUCUGUCAUCAUGACUAUCCAUGGAUACACAAGAUACGCUCCUGACGAUGUAUAUGUAUAUAACAAUGAGAUGUGGAUUGUUGCCAUAGGAGCAAAGAGUGACUCCGAGCUUAAAAUGGACGUUGAGAUCAUUUCCAUUGACCUAUCAACCUUUGUUGCCUGUUCAGGCUCCAAGAUGAGCGUGUUACCGACUCUCCUUUGCGAUGGACUUUACCACUGCGAUCAUUACGAGGAUGAAUUAGCAUGCAAUUAUUCAGCAACAUAUCUUGAGGUAGGCGAAUCAUAUUUCAUCAACAUGGAUUCCUACGAACGACUAUACAAUGUAACCUUGCUACAAACAAACGCUAUGAAAGGAUUUCGAGUUUUUUUCCAAGAUUUUCUACUCUAUUCUGAUGCUGAAGUCAAAAUAGGGACAGGUAACGAUCCGUCUGACAAUCAGUCUGUCAUCACAACUAUCCACGGAUAUACAAACUACGCUCAUGAUGUCUAUGUAGAUACCAAUGAGAUGUGGUUUGUCGCCAAAGGAGGAAAGGAUAAAACCCCUGUUGUAUUGGAUGUUGAGAUCAUUUCCAUUAAGCUAUCAGCCUUUUUUUAUUGUUCGAGCUCCAACAUGAGCGUGUCACCAACUGUCCUGUGCGACGGGCUUUACCAAUGUGAUCAUUACGAGGAUGAAUCAGCAUGCGAUUACUCAUCAACAUAUCUUGAGGAAGGCGAAUCUUAUUUUAUCUACAAACCGAUCUCCACCUUUAACAGCCGAUCGUACAAGGUAACCUUGCUACAAACAAACGCUAUGAAAGGAUUUCGAGUUGUGUACCAACAUUCGUCUUACUACUUUCAUGGUAAGGCGAUGUUAGGGACCGGUAACGACCCAUCUGAUAGUCAGUCUGUCAUCACCAUUUUCAACAAAGAUACAAAUUACGAUCAGGAUGUCUAUGUAAAUACCAAUGAGAUGUGGUUUGCUGUCAUAGGAACGAAGAGUACCCUCUCGCGGUUUGACAUUGAUGUUGAGAUCAUUUCCAUUGACCUAUCAACCUUUUUUUAUUGUUCGAGCUCCAACAUAAGCGUGUCAACAACUGUCCUGUGCGAUGGACUUUACCACUGCGAUCAUUUCGAGGAUGAAUUGGCAUGCAAUAAUUUAGCUACAUAUCUGCAGAAAGGCGAAUCACAUUUCAUCAACAUACCGCUCACCCGCACCAGCCGAUGGUUCAAUGCAAGCUUGGUACAAACAAGUACUAUGUAUGGUUUUCGAAUCGCGUUUCAAUAUAUGGAUCUAAGCUAUGAUGAUGAAGUCCAAAUAGGGACAGGUAAUGAUCCGUCUGAUAUACAAUCUGUCACCACAACUAUCCAUGGAGCCAUAGACUACGCUCCUGAUGAUGUCUAUGUAGGUACCAAUGAGAUGUGGUUUGCUGUCAUAGGAGGAAAGAGUUACUCCAGGCUUCAGGUGGAAGCUGAGAUCAUUCCCUUUGACUUAUCAAUUGACUGUUCUGGUAGCAACCCAUGUCAGAACGGAGGUACCUGUGAGGACAAUGCAUGUACAUGUGUCGCGGGUUUUAAUGGAGUUGUUUGUAGUACAGUUGACUGUUCUGGGAGCAACCCAUGUCGGAACGGAGGUACCUGUAAGAACAAUGCAUGUAAAUGUGCUGCAAGAUUUAAUGGAGCUUUGUGUAGUACAGUUGCCUGUUCUAGGUGGGAACCAUGUCGGAACGGAGGUACCUGUGAGAACAAUGCAUGUACAUGUGCUGCGGGAUUUGAUGGAGAUUUGUGUAGUACAGUUGACUGUUCUGGGAGCAACCCAUGUCGGAACGGAGGUACCUGUGAGAACAAUGCAUGUACAUGUGCUGCGGGAUUCGAUGGCGCUUUGUGUGGUACAGUUGACUGUUCUGGGAGCAACCCAUGUCGGAACGGAGGUACCUGUAAGAACAAUGCAUGUAAAUGUCCUGCAAGAUUUAAUGGAGCUUUGUGUAGUACAGUUGCCUGUUCUAGGAGACACCCAUGUCGGAACGGAGGUACCUGUGAGAACAAUGCAUGUACAUGUGCUGCGGGAUUUGAUGGAGCUUUGUGUGGUACAGUUGACUGUUCUGGGAGCAACCCAUGUCGGAACGGAGGUACCUGUAAGAACAAUGCAUGUAAAUGUCCUGCAAGAUUUAAUGGAGCUUUGUGUAGUACAGUUGCCUGUUCUAGGAGACACCCAUGUCGGAACGGAGGUACCUGUAAGAAAAAAGCAUGUAAAUGUGCUGCGGGAUUUAAUGGAGAUUUGUGUAGUACAGUUGACUGUUCUGGGAGCAACCCAUGUCGGAACGGAGGUACCUGUGAGAACAAUGCAUGUACAUGUGCUGCGGGAUUUGAUGGAGCUUUGUGUAGUACAGUUGACUGUUCUGGGAGCAACCCAUGUCGGAACGGAGGUGUCUGUGAGAACAAUGCAUGUACAUGUGCUGCGGGGUUCGAUGGAGCUUUGUGUAAUCAGGGCAUGUGAGUUAAAGUCUCACCUCCCUGGUGUAAUACAGGUUAGAAAAUACAUUGUAACAUAUUGUUAUGUAGUAGUUGUAUCAGGGCUCAC
rnacentral:lncRNA from 1 species